ACUACAACCCAAGUAGAUAACCCCUCAUCGUCUACUUUCUCUCUCCUCAGAAAUAACCCAUACUUCCCUCUAAUCUCUCUCUCCUAAAAUCACCAUAUUUUCUCUCCAAACACCACCAUAAUUGCUCCAAGUCGAACACAAUUUCAACAAAUUUCUUGCGAUUUUCGCCUAAAUUUUGCUAACAUUGUUCAUAAACUUGCAAAAAUCAAGUCAAAUCGAACAAUUGAAGCUGACAUUUCAUCAAUGAAACCCUAGAUUUUCGCAACAAAUCGAAGUGAAAUCCGAAUGGAACAAAGCGACGAAAAUCGAAUCUUACUGAACUAAAUUACGAAAUGGAAAGGUUGAUAAUGGAGGUUUGACGUUCAGCGGCGAAGAUGCGGCGGAGAUGGUGACGGAGCUCCGGCGGAAUUUCGUGAGCGGUAAAACUCGGAGUUACGAAUGGAGAGUUACUCAGUUGAAGAGUAUUGUCAAAUUUGUUGAAGAACGUGAGACUGAGAUUGUUGAUGCUCUUCGUUCUGACAUUAAUAAACCUGAAUUUGAAUUCGUUUAAUUUGAGCAUAGUCGAUAUGGUACUGCAGGAACAUGGCAAGACACGAGAACUUGCUGCUCAACGCUGUCCAAACAACAGUGGGUUUUACUAAGCUUGUUGAUGAUUAGCCUCUAUGCUAAGAAGGUGUUUGUAAGCCGAUUUCUCUUUGGCUGUAGCAUGGAUUCAACCUACUAUGGGUGUCACAAAGGUGAAUGUGGAUGCGCAUUUGGGCAGCAAAUAUGUGGGCCUUAGUGUUGUUGCAUGUAAUGAGAAGGGAGAGGUAUGGGCUGUUGUACGACAUAUGGCGGGAAGGUGGAAUAUGGAGGAUGCAGAAGUCGCGACAGCAAGGUAUGGAAUCCAAGUGGCUCGUAGAGUGGGUGUUGCUUGUCUAUGGUUGGAGGUUACCAUCAAAAUUAAUAUAGUUAUCUUAUCUUCGUAUAUAAUGACUUUUAUGUAAAUGUGGUCAAAAUUGAUAUAGUUACUCUACUUUUGUAUAUAGUGACUUACUGACUUCUAUGAGAAUAUGAUCAAAAUUGAUAGUUACCCUAUUUUUGUAUGUAGUGACCUUAAUGUAAAUGCUGUAAAAAUUGAUAUAGUUACCCUAUUUUUGUA